ACAACCAGGAUGUUGGCUUAGAAGCAGCCACUCAUUAAAAGAGUGCGUAAUAGCUCACUGGUCGAGUGACUCUGCGCCGAAAAUUUAACGGGGCUAAACUAUACACCGAAGCUUGGGAUACAUCUAAUGUAUGGUAGGAGAGCGUUCUGUAUGGGGAGAAGUCGUAGCGAAAGCGGCGGUGGACUAUACAGAAGUGAGAAUGCCGGAAUAAGUAGCGAGAAUUAAGUGAGAAUCUUAAUGGCCGAAAGUCUAAGGUUUUUGGAGGAAGGUUCGUCCGCUCCAAGUAAGUCGGGAGCUAAGGUCAGGCCGAAAGGCGUAGCCGAUGCACAUACGGUUGAUAUUCCGUAACCAUCUGUAAUUUAAGCAAAGGGACACUUCAAAAGGGUGUGACCCGGGCGUUGGUUGACCCGGGCGUAAGGGACCGAAAUUAGAGUAGGGAAGCACACUUAGCUGAAGGCGAGAAAAGCUUUGCGUAUAGAAACAGAUGCCCGUACCGCAAACCGACACAGGUGGACAGGAAGAGAAUUCUAAGGCCAGCGGGAGAAGGGUAGUUAAGGAACUCGGCAAAUUGACUCCGUAACUUCGGAAUAAGGAGUGCUCGAAAGAGCCGCAGAGAAUAGGCCCAGGCGACUGUUUAGCAAAAACACAGGUCUCUGCCAAAUCGAAAGAUGAAGUAUAGGGGCUGACACCUGCCCGGUGCCGGAAGGUUAAGAGGAGGAGUGAGAGCUCCGAAUUGAAGCCCCGGUAAACGGCGGCCGUAACUAUAACGGUCCUAAGGUAGCGAAAUUCCUUGUCGGGUAAGUUCCGACCCGCACGAAUGGUGUAACGAUCUGGGCACUGUCUCAACUACCCACCCGGCGAAAUUGUAGUACCGGUGAAGAUGCCGGUUACCUGCGGCAAGACGGAAAGACCCCAUGGAGCUUUACUGUAGCCUGAUAUUGGGUUUCGGAAAUCUAUGUACAGGAUAGGCGGGAGACUGGGAAACAUGAGCGUCAGCUUGUGUGGAGUCGAUGUUGGGAUACCGCCCUUAGGUUUCUGGAAUUCUAACCUGCGGCCGUGAAUCCGGUCGGGGGACAUUGUCAGGUGGGCAGUUUGACUGGGGCGGUCGCCUCCGAAAAGGUAACGGAGGCGCUCAAAGGUUAGCUCAGCACGGACGGAAACCGUGCCUCUGAGUGUAAACGCAAAAGCUAGCCUAACUGCGAGGGUGACGGCCCGAGCAGUAACGAAAGUUGGAGUUAGUGAUCCGGCGGUAUGUGAAUGGAAAUGCCGUCGCUCAACGGAUAAAAGCUACCCUGGGGAUAACAGGCUGAUCUCCCCCAAGAGUCCACAUCGACGGGGAGGUU
rnacentral:rRNA from 1 species